rnacentral:rRNA from 1 species
UACGUAGGGACCGAGCGUUGUCCGGAUUCAUUGGGCGUAAAGAGCUCGUAGGCGGCUGUUCAAGUCGAACGUGAAAACUCGGAGCUCAACUCCGAGCCUGCGUUCGAUACUGGACGGCUAGAGUCUGGUAGGGGGAUCUGGAAUUCCUGGUGUAGCGGUGAAAUGCGCAGAUAUCAGGAGGAACACCGAUGGCGAAGGCAGCUCGCUGGGACGGUACUGACGCUGAGGCGCGAAAGCGUGGGGAGCAAACAGG